rnacentral:lncRNA from 12 species
CAAGAGCCAUGUCUUGGUGACUUCCGCCUGAGAGCACAUGCACAGCUUCCUGUUUUGGUCUGAUAGCUUCCCCUGGGCUUUCAUAGAUGCAAAAUUACUCACACAGAGAUGGGUUGCCCAUGCAAAAAAGUUUUUUAUGGCAUUAGGGGAAGCUGUUGCUGCCUGUUUUGAAGAUGCCUCUCUUAUCUCAAUGGCAAGUUUUGGACACUUCCAUACUUAAGGCAUGAGAGACUUGAAGAGUCUCUUGGAUCAACAAGUCUGUUUUCCUUCCUCACCCUCCCAAGAGUUUAAGACUUCUCCAGGAGAAAAUUCAAUUGCCUCCAACCUACUCAUUACCUGGUGACUUCACUCAGUGAAUUCAUUCCUUUGCUAGGCUGACUUGCACAUUGACCCUGAUUUUUUUUUUCCUCAAGUGCCUUGUUUAGCUACAUUUUAUGACUCUGCUUUUGACUGAGGCAUACAGGUCAAACUAUUACUUUACAAAAGGAGGUUCACAAAGUGAAUAUUUCUUAAGUAAUUCUGGAAACCUGAGAGGAAAUGAUUAGGAGACACAAAGGCAUACAACCUAGUUUGUUGAGCUUCCAUAUUGAAAAAUAAUGGCUUUACAUAGAACAUAAGCACUCUCCAGAGAUGUUUCUACAAAACGCACUUAAAGUAGUCAAAGUAGUGCUGCUGAGAAAGGUUUCUGAUGCAGGGUUACAGAAAGAAAUUUCUAAACCCUAACCAAACUAAAAGGGGGUUUUCAGAAAAUGUCCUCUUCUCUCAAAGAGAGGUUAGGUACAUACGAUAAGUACUGAGUCAACAUUUGUUUUUUGCUAACCACUCAGUAAAUUCUAGAGCAGAGAUCUUACACUAAGCUGUAGUCCUAACAAUGAAAGCGGGACCUGUUUAGCAGUUUAUGUUUCUAUUGUACAGGAGAAUGACUUCCUAGCUUAAGUGACUAUGCCUUUAUUAGAGGUUGUUAUGAUGUAAAGGGAUUUCAAAUUCUUAUGGGUUAUAGGGGGGUAAUAAUUGACUCUUCUUACCUCACUGUACUUCCCCAGUGAAUGCACAACAGACACCAUACAUGUCACUAAAUAAACCUAAGAUACGAGACCCUCUCCUCUCA